CAUUGUAUCUGGUCAAUUCAGCAUAACAACUAACAUGCAAAAUAAACAUUUACAUUUCACUAUCUUUUUUUCCCACAGUGAAAUCCGUGGGGGACACUGGCCUUUCUCUCCUGUCUUCACUGAAACAGAAGGCUACACCUACAUGUACACAGACUAUAGAUAAGGAAUCACAAGCAAAUAAACACUGAGGCUACAGUCCAGCCAGAAAGAAAAGGUGAAGAGUCACUCUUUUUACUUCUGAAAUGCAAACAAGUUCAGUUAUUCUACUCUUGGAGUAUGUUUCUAAUGAUCACUUCUGGUUGGACUCUAGAAUGAAUCUCUGGA
rnacentral:lncRNA from 1 species